rnacentral:misc_RNA from 1 species
AACGCACAUUGCGCCCCUUGGUAUUCCGGGGGGCAUGCCUGUUCGAGCGUCAUUACAACCCUCAAGCCUGGCUUGGUAUUGGGCUUCGCCACUAACCUGGCGGGCCUUGAAAUCAGUGGCGGUGCCUCCGAGGCCCUGAGCGCAGUAAAUAUCCUCGCUAUAGGGACCCGGUGGUUACUGGCCAGCAACCCCAACUUUCUAAGUUUGACCUCGGAUCAGGUAGGGAUACCCGCUGAACUUAA